rnacentral:misc_RNA from 1 species
CUGGGUUACCGACUCCCUUCGGGGAGUACCACCCGCCCUCUGUCAUUUGCAACGGUAUUGCUUCGGCCGCUGGUCCUGCGUGCGGGGUGCCUGCUCUCUCUCACGGGAGGGGGGGUUACCCGGCGGGGGGUCACGGUCGGUCUCUCAACUCCAUGAACUGAACGUGUGUGUCUGAUGUAAAAAAACAAAACGAAAAGCA